rnacentral:lncRNA from 1 species
GCUCACACGGGGAUUAUUACAUGGGAACGAGGAAGGCUAGCUUUAGAGCGAGAGGCCACCGGACUCCUCGUCCUCGUCGAGGCCAGAGGUGUAGACAGUGUAGAGGGACCAGAUGAGGCCGAAGACACCCAGGAGGAUCCACCCCAGCAGGUUGUUGCUCAGGCCGAGGCUCAGCCCGGUGCCCUCCGUGGACAUCCGGUCGUCCACGAGCGCCAGCGCCGGCGCCGCGGACGCGGUCACCGCGCCCGCCGCCGCGAGCAGGGACGCGCCGGCGCCGCGCACGCUGGUGGUCGGGGUCGCCUCCUUGGCGUCCUUGGAGUAGCUGCACCUCACCCUCUCGCUCCUCGCCCUCAGCUGUGGCAGCCCUGCAUGAUCAAUUGACAGUGUUUUUCUUUACUUCUUUAUGCUCCCAGCUCAGCCAUUGCGCAUCGGCGUCCGUGCAAAUGAAACACAGUUGUUACUCUGUGAAAGGCACGUACCUAGAGCCUGCGGCCGGGUGGUCACGGCACGGGCGACGACGGUGGUCGCCGCGGCGGCGCUGAUGGUGGCCAUUGUUGUUGUUGUGCUUUGCUCUGCCGGUGCUGGAGAGUGUGUCUGACUCAGGUCUGGGCUCGCGUGUGCCGGUCCGCCGGGGUUUCCCUUUUAAGGCGAUAUGCGAAAAUAUCGAGAAUAAGGGAGGCUGCAAAUCGUUUAGCGCCACAUGGAUUGGGUGAGGCACGGGAUAGGCUAUCCUGCAUCCAUGGUCUAUCUGUUCCUGGCCAAUCGGCUUGUGCCAUAUGGACCCCGCCGAUUCUCUGAUGAAAAUAAGUGGACGUCUGCCCAGCGACUUUGGUUUAGUUCAGUGGUACUAGUAAUUCCAGCGAGAAAAUCGCAGCCUCGAAGGCCGUCUGACGGUUAAAUUCAGUAGUCCUUCUCUUUAUUAAAGGGUCGCGGUAGGGAUCGGCGAUAUUUUCAGCUGUCCGGCGUCCGAUCUACAUAAAGACGAAAUCUUGUCCAUUUCGAUAUCGUAAUGUCAAAUUUUAGUAUGCGGCAUUCGGCACGAUAGUCGCGGGCUGCGGCAGAAUAGCUUUAGUAGACGUUUACCAUAAAAACGAAUAUUCAUUUUAAAGUAAAGGUUUACGGGAUCUAUUACAUCGCAGCCCGCGUGAUACCAACCUGCUUUUGCAUUUUAGCGCAUAUUUAUGACUUUUGGACAACAAAAUCUUAAUAGAAUAACAAUAUAAAUCAAAUUCAUGAAUGUGCAAACAUCACGUGAUACAACAAUAAUAGUACAAAUCCAAAUAAAUUAACAAAUAAUGAAUGUCCCGCACCAUGAAGGGGAACCGACGGCCGGAGCGAGCUUCGCAGGAAUUCGGGUCGAACAAGUCAGGGUCCGAAAAGGCAGCGGCGGCUGCUCCCACGACGGCGCGGACGAAUACAACGGCUACUGCGACGGUGCGGCUGAAUUGGAGCUGCGCUCCGGAUCCAUGAUGGCCGCGAGCUCGAAUCAACUCAAGGCGAAAGAGACUCGACGAGCCGUGAGCUCCCAGUGGUGCUGGAUGGGCGCGGCAGAAGGCAAAAGACCUUGUGCUAACGCGGAAUCGAAGGCGAUGGUGGGAGGCGACGGGGGCGGGGACAGGUGGAAGCGUGGGACCGAAACUUCGGCGCACCAAGGGUUUCCAAGCAAAUGUGGUUUACCGAGAAAUUCCGCGCAGAAACUUACCGUGGUGGGAAGGUUUUUUUAUGGGGAGUUUUUAGAAGGUUCUCGUAAAUACGAGGGAUUCACUUGGGUCGUUUUUCCUACCAAAUCCAUAAAACCAACAUUUAUUCUAAGGACCGGGUCUAUAUCAGGGAUCUGCUAAAGAGAUGCUGUAAAGAAGAGAACGACUACGGCUCAGUCGACGCCGUUUCUCAGUCGGGGAGUAUUACGUAUGUUCCGUCUACUCGAUCGAUCGAUCGAUGGACUGUACGCGUGCAUGUGCAUCUCCGGCCGAGACCCAUCCAUGCAAUCGAUCAGCCGUACAGUAAGCAUGCAUUAGUCCAUGUACAAGCUGUACCAACUCACAACGCAUAAAAAGGAAAACUCUAGCGCUAAUAUUAAGCAAGCUUCACACCCAUGUACAAGUCGGGUCGGUUCUCCACGACGCACACCCAUGUACCUGAAACUUAAUUUUCUGUUAAAAAAAACUUGAAACAUGUGAAACUUAAUUUCAACUGCAAUUUUCAAAAACACCUGAAAUUAAGUUAAAUUGAUUUUCAGGUGCAAAUUUAACUUAAUUUCAGGUGCAAUUUUUUCGGCUAGUAUCAUAUUAAAAAAUUACAGAUGAAACAUUUUAUAGUUGCACCCAUUUUGCAUCUGAAAAUUUUUAGAAGUUAGCAUGUAAUUAACCCUAACUACUCGCUCUAAACACUAGAGUUGUGUAUGGAAAAAAGGAAUACAAAAAUAGAAGUCACCAUGAAAACAAAAGGCAAGUCAAAGGAAAACAAAAAAAAUAAAACAAACGAAGCAAAUGAAAAAAUGUAAACAGAAAACAUUUUUUAAAUUAGAGUUGUAUAUAAAGACAAGAAAAAUCAAGAGAUAAAAAAAUAUAAAAGAAAAAACCAAAACGAGUCCGUUAGGAUUUGAACAUGGAACCACUAGGCUCUACCCAACACACACAAGACCACCACUAGACCAAUCCAUCAACACUGUUGUGGUACAGCUGUUAGGCUACAUAUACUCUUCUUAAACGCCCGCACGGAUCUUGUCCGGUCUGACAGCUUAGAACAUCGACUGAGAAAACCAAUUUUUCAGGCGACUGAGGAUUAGCAAUUUCGAAAGAACAAUCUUUACCAGUGGCAAACCUUUUUCCUUUUCUGCGUUGAAAUUAAAGACGCUGGUGAUGUAACUAAGAAACUAGGAAGCACUAGCGAGAAAGGAUCACAGCCCAUCGAUUUGAUGGAUCCAUCUCUUAUUCCGUAGUCCGUACUACAACUUGUCAAUUUAAUUACAGCUAGUUCACCAAAUGUACGUACCAAAAUAAAACCCCUGAGAAGUCGUGAUGAUCGAUCUCAAACACAGCAACUCGAUCGCGCGCGUGUGGGUAUGCGGGGGCUACGGCGACGGGAAGCAGGCCUCGCUGUCGAGGAUGGCGGCCUUGAGCUCCCGCUGUAUGGACGCCCGCAGCGGCGACGCCACCAGGUCCUCCCAUACGGACCCCGCGCCGCCCGUGGGGUGCCCGUCCGGGUACAGCUCGUGCACGCAGUCCGCUUCCUCGUUGAUCCUGCUCACCCGGUCCAGCAGCUCGAUCUCCUCCACGUCCACCAGCAGCCUGCUGCAGCUCCCGUCCUUCCACCCUAUCAACUGCAUGCACGGGAGCGCAAAUUAACCAAUCUCUCUAGCUAGCUAGCUUUAGAUCGGCAGCUUAAUUUUUACCUUGGCGGCGCCGAUGGCGUUGGUGCUGUAGAGCCUGGCAUUGUCGACGAGGUCGCAGUACUUCCGGAAUGCCCCGGCGAACCGCUUGUGGGACUUGAGCUGCGAGUUCACCCGCACGGCUCUUCCGGAGAUGAUGGCUCGCCUGCACGCACGUCCCACACACAUAUAUAGUCGAAUUGAAUGGCCCGUGUCAGAUGUGUACGUGCGUGCGUGCUUGAUUAAUUGUUUCCAAGUUGAGUAGUACCUGAUCCCCCUGACGACGGCGAGGUAGGCGUCGCAGAUGAUGCCGACGAGCUCGAUGCGGUAGGGCUUGGUGGCCCUGGCGCCGACCGCGCCGUGCUGCUGCUCGUGCUCGUGCUCGGCCUCGGCCUCCUCCACGGGCUCCCAGUACUGCUCCGUGGUGGCCCCGUCGGCGCCGACCUUGUAGCCGACCCCCAUGCGGUACCGCUGCCGGUGCACGGCCCGCGCCAUGGCCACCGUCUGCAGCACGAACGGCUCCCACGACAGCGUCCCGUCCAUGAUCACGUCCCGCCCCUCGUUCAGCGCCGUCACCAGCAGCGACGCCGCCGCGUCCGUCGACGACUGGUGCACCUGCAAGAAAUGCGUGCACCCGGGCACCCGGCCGCGCCGUGUCGUGUCACUCGACUUAUGUUGUGUACAGACUGCAAACACAAGAGAGUUCUUUUGACAGUGCAGCACGGGACGUACCAGCUCGGCGGUCUGCAGCAUGUCGUUGUGGUGGCCGCGGGAGCUGAUGGCCUGGUAGAUCACGUCCGACUCCUUGAACGCGUCGGCCUCCACCACCACCGCGUUCGCCGACGCGCCGGAGGACCAGAACACCCUGUGCACGCACACAUUCCCAUCAGUGUUCAACGAGCUUGAUUCUGCUGGGAUCGACGUACUCCGGAGGACGACUCACUCCUUCAUGAUCUGUUUGAGCACGGUGCUCUUGCCGGCGCCCAUGCCGCCGCCCAUGAGCAGCAACACGGGGCUGCGGUCGCUGUGCGCCGCCGGAACCAUCACGUCCGUGAGAGGGCUGUGCGGCUGGUUCUCGUGGCAGCAGCUUACCCCGAUCACCUUCAGCUCCUCCAUCAGCGUCGAGAAGAGCCGAGUCACCUUCAGCUCCCUCGUCACCCUCUCGAACCUCAUCUUCCUGCAGAAUAUGUAGUGCCGGAUCGGGGAUCAGCGAAUAGUCGUCAUUUUGUAGUACAAGUCAAAAUGGUCACCUGGUGGCCUCCAAUACCAUGCUCUUGAGCUUUCUUCUAGGUUGCUCUGCUGUUAGAACCUGAUCGAUUAAGCAAGUUCCCAUAUGUGAAUGACAAAGGCAGCAAGACGCGUCAGCUGUUUCAAAAUAAACGUCUGCACGAACAAACGACGCAAGUUUUUCGUGAACCUAACUUAGGUGGUCUGAUUCCUUGUGGUGGAACCAGCCCACCCAGAUUUAAAUACUAAAUUUGACAUGAGUGUCACAUUUUCUUGGGUUAUUUCAGGAUUUAACCGGCGCUAUGCUUUCAGUGAUAGGUGACGUACCCGUCAGCAGCGAGACGUCUGAGGUGACCUCGUCAAUUUCUCAAAAUUUGCCGGCUCAGUCUUUCGGAGGUGCUCGUAGGGAUAGGACGUGCGUGUGUGCGUUCAUAGGGGUGAGUGUACGCGCGUGUUGUGAGCGUUUGCGUUUAUACUGUGUUUCUAAAAAAACAAAAACAAACGCAAGUUUUUAGUUACCUGCGUGAUUACUUGAGUCGCACAUUUCCAGUGGAAGGAGAAGUAGCCGAGUAUGCAUCUGUCCAGCUCCUCGAUGAACUUCACGAGCAGGGCGUCUGGGUUCAUGUUGUUAUGGAAGAAGGCGAGAAGAUUUUGCUCGUAGCCCUCGCUCUUCUUCAGGUAAUAGUAAGCCAUUGUACAGAGGUGGGGGCACUCGUUCGGAUCGUCGAACCCGAUCUGCUUUGCUGAAUUGAGCAAGAGAUGGAGAUAAAUGCAGAAACCGGUUUCAAUCAUUCUUCUUGGUUACAUUGCUUGUAUUGCUCGGAAUGAAAAGUGAUGUACAAUCCCCUUAAGAAAAAAAGAGUGAUGUACAAAAUUGAUGUACUCCAGUAUAAAUGUGUUUAACGAAACGGCUGUAAGAUGAACCGUUAAAUUACGUCUGCGAAAUGUUAAGAUAAAACAGGUCAAUCUGCAGAGAAAUUGCUGAAACGCAGAGAUCCGUUCAUCAAAUCGGAGAUAUCAGUUCUGACUACACGUUGCAAUGCAUCAAAAUGAUAUUUUAGUUGUACUGCACAUGCUACGUUUCCAUUCUGAUUUUCAGAAAAAAUAAAUCAUACUGUAUUAAAUAAACUGCGCGCGUUUGUCUCGCUGAAUAAGAAUGCUCGUAAAACUCAAUUCGUCGUCACAGUUGGCCUGAAUUGAAAACAACGACGAGUACAUUGGCCUCCGAUAACGCAAUUCGGAACCUAUUCCUUUCGUUUUAUAAUUUAUACAUGUAAUAUUUUAACAAGAAUUAUUUAUGUGUAGCCAGGAAGAAUAUAAAAUAACGUACCGACGUAGUGCGAGAACAUCUCGAUCUCGUGGGCGUGGGGCGCCACCAGCCGCGGCACCACGGCCGCCACGUCAUCCUUCAUCUUCCUCUAAUUAGCGCCUCGGACUCGAUCGGUCUUUCCCCGUCCGGCCGGCCGGAACAAUAACGGCGCAGAGCAGCUGCCCAUGCAAUGUGUGCAUCGACGCGGCCUUGGGCGAAGAACAAGUGAACAACUCGAUUCGAUUGGGGGAAGGGCAGGGCGAGACGGAGAGUCCGGGAGAUCCAAGGUGUGCGGAGGUGGAAACGGAUGCAUGCAUGCAUGCAGGCGGGCCGUGGUUAGUACUGAAAGGAAAACGUAUGUAAUCAUGGACUAAUGGCCCUUUUUUUAUUUGGGGAAAAUCGAAUUUCUCAGUCGAUCGAAUUUCUCAGUGUGUCUGCUGUGCCCGUGUGUGUGCAUGUGCGUGUGUGUGCGCGCGCGCGGGUGUGUCUGCGUGUGUGUCUGGGUGGGGGUGCCCGUGUGUGUGCAUGGUGUGGGUGUGCGUGGAUUCCCGUGUUUGUGCAUUUGUGUGUGUGCGUGGGUGCCCGUGUGUGUUGGUUUUGUUUGUAGGUAGCCUAGUUUUUGUUUUUUUUGUUUUUCUUGUUGAAUUCAUUAAUAACAACAGGUUUCGGAUUAUCAAAUUUUAAACCUUGCACGUGAAACUUUAUGCGCGAUUUUAAAAAAUUGCAAGUGAAAUUUUAUGCCUGAUUUUAAAAAUUGCACGAGCAAUUUUAUGUCUGAUUUUAAAACUUGCACGUGAAUUUUGCGUGAUUCCAGUUGCACGUGAAAUUUUGUACACGAUUCUAAAAAUUGCACGUGUUUGUGCGCGAUUUUAAAAAUUACACUUGAAAUUUUAUCCGCGAUUCUAAUUGCACGUCAAAAUUUGUGGGCAAUUCAAAAAAUGGCACGCGAAUUUUGUGUGUGUCUUAAAAUUGCACGUGAAAUUUUAUCCACGAUUCUAAUUGCACGUGAAUUUGUGCACGAUUCAAAAUUUUGUGCACAAUCCUAAAAAUUUGCACCUGAAAUUUUAUGCACGAUUAUAAAAGGAUAAUGAAAACAAAAAAUAUCAAGAGACAAAAAACAAAGUAUAAAUAAGAAAAGAAAAUAAUAAAGAAGAAAAAACAAAUGGAAGAAAAAAAAAUGAAAAAAAAAACGACGGCGGCCACAGGACUCAAACUUACAACCUCAUGAAUCCGACAAAGGACUCCGCUGAUAGCCACAGAACCAAUUAGUUGGUACUACUCUAGUGGAAUUAUUAUGUUAUAUAUACAGUGAUCUAUCUCAGAUCGACUGAGAAAUAUCAAUUCUCAGGCGACUGAGGACUAGCAAUUCUCUUUUUAUUUUUCAAAAAAGAAGGAAUACCCGCGGCCUCUGCAGGACUAAUGGUGUCACCUCAAGCGCUUGCUCUGGAGUUCUGCUUGCGACGCUGUGGUAUGUGGUUCCAGGAUUUCAAUUAAGUUUGUUAAAGUAGUGUGGUUUUAUGAAAAUUUUAGAACCUUUGACCAUAUGCUUAAACUCUUUUCUUUAAAAUAAAAAUAAAAACAGGUUGAGAGUUUUUUCCUUUUAGAAUACACCAAAAUUGGUGUAUCACUAUCAUCAGUUAAAGAAGAUGUUGCAGAGCAGCUACAUGUCCAUUACGGGCCGGGAUUAGAAAGCGAAAUUAAGUGUUGUCUCUCCACUCUACUCUACGCAGCCCGGGAUACACCCGAAACCAGCUCUAAUCGCUCGGAUGAUGCAGUCUCACUGUCGAGAGUUUCCUUGUAGUUAAGUUGAGACAUCAUGAGUCCACGGUAUUUAUUUUUAUGCGUCUUUUUCUGACAAAAAUUAACUUCAAUUGUUUUUCCUUUCUAUCAGAACAUCUGGUUUAUUUUGAAAUGCAAAGUCAAACAGAAAAAAGGACAAUCGCCCUUCACUUGAAAUAUUGUGAUUUUCCGAUUUUUCUGCUUUGGUUAGAUCAUACCGUAUGAGGAAUGACACUGCUGAAUACUCCCUCCAUUCCAUAAUUCUUGUCUCAAGUUUUACCAAAAAGUGUCUAAAUACAUGUAAUAUUUCGACAAGAAUCAUGAAACCGAGGGAGUACUUAACAUACAUCUUAUUUUAGGGAAGUAUAGUUAACAGUUUUUUGUACCAUUCUGUUAGUAGCUUCCUGUUCACCUAUAGGAUUUUCAUACAAUAGUCGAUCCCAUCGUAAUAAAACCAUGUAUUAUUACAGGUUUACAACCUCAUUCUGUCAAUAUACCAAGGAUGGUGAAUCUAUCACUACACCAAGGACGGUGAAAAUAGAACACAGAAACCACAUCCAGAUUACUGCCAUCAGGUGUCGUUGUGCUGACCCGUUCUAUUUUGAGGAUGAAGUAGCUCUCUUUCUCUUAGCUUCUUGCUAAGUUCUUCGUUCGAUGGUAGCUUCCAGCCACCCUUCAUGGCAGCAGACCACCAUGCCUUCAACUCAUCCUAAAAAAUAUAACGAAAUCAGUCAUCUCCAUAAAUAGCUCCAGCUGAUGGACUAGACCAAAACAAAUUUAUAUUAGUGGGGACUGUAAAUAAGGACUGUAGAAAAUCAGGGUAGAACCUGAAGGCCUCUACCAAACUAAAGUGCACAUUGGCAUCUGAAUCUGCAAUAGUAGCAGGACACCUUUGAUAUUGAAAAUAAGACCGCUAUUUUUUUUUUGACAAAGUUAAACCUCGAAAUGCAUGGGCGCCAUUCUUUGAGAAACAGAUAGCAGAACUGAUAAGAGUACUGCUUUUUGCACAUUACCUCAUGGAAUUCAUGGUUGGAUACAAAGCGAGAAUCUACUUGGCAAGUUGAAUUCCUGAUUGUUACAGAGAGGCGAUUCCUAUCCAGUGCUCCUGUAAGAGAAAUCCAUAUUACUACAUGUCACAUUUCAGAUAUUCUUUACUUUCUAAGAAAAUAUAUUGUCACUAUGCAACCUGGGCAAUUUAUUCAGCCAAUCGCUAAAGUACACAUAAUUGUACAGUAAUUACCAUUUAUCCUGGCGACAUGGUAUCCGGUGCCACCCAAUGCUUCCUCCCAUUUACCAAAUCGUAGACGCAAGAAAAAGCCAUCUAAAGUAGUGUGCCUGACUGGUGACGUCAACCAUCUGUCAAGGAUCACCAAUGUAAAUAACAGAGCAAACAUCAAUUCUUAGAAUCUUCCCAAUUUAAGCACAACUUUCCAGUCAGAAACACGAGAUAUCCUUCUGCACAUCAAUAGGAUCAACGGAUAAAACUCCAGAACCCGCUCAUAGUAUACGAAGUAGUACUCCCUCCGUCCCAUAUUAAGUGACUCAAUUUGUUCAAAUAUGGGCGUAUCUAUGUACUAAAAUAUGUCUAGAUACAUGCAAUAGAAAGUCACUUAACAUGGGAUGGAGGGAGUAUUAAAUUAGAGAAAAUGUGGCAAUUAUAUUUGAGAAGUUAUAGCAGUUGAAAGGCAAAUGUAUCAGCUAUGAUAGCCCUCCAAAAUAUAAAUAGAUGUAUGAUGUUACUAUUUUCUAUCAGUAUAGAUAAAGCAGAUGCAGUUUGGCAUACGUCCUUUAGCUAAUAAGAUGAGUCCUCCCAGUAAUUUUCUAUGGUACAGUCAAAUCUAAGAACUUCCAGGUAGCAGAGAAGAGCAGACAACCCAUACAAAGCUAUAUGCCAUAGUCCAAUGAAAUCUUCGUUCACAUGUGUGCCCACCUUACAUAGAUAACAUGUCAUGCAAUCCCUGAAUGCAGCCAUGCAUGCCACAGAUAGAAGGUACAAAGAUAAAAUGCUGAAAGGAAUUCAGAGGUGGUUCAAAAAAUCCAGUAGAGUACCUUAUGAUAUCCGAGCGAGACAAACGAAGCCUCUCCAAGGCUCCAAAAACAGCACUUGAUCGAUCAUAUUCAUCGCUGGACAUAAUACCAUAAGGAACAAUUUGCUUGUUAUCUGGCAGACUCUCCAUGGAAUUUGACAGCACCUCCUUAAUUUUUACUCCUCUUCUCUGAACAUAUUCAGCAGAUGUGUUGGCCUCUAAAUUGUCAUGAGGAGCUGCAGCCUUUCCAGCCAUACUCCCUCCACAAUGCUGACGAUCACCUCCAGACAAGAAUUUUACUCUUACUUCCUCGUCACUGCCAGUACAUAAUUGUCCUUUACCUUUGUCACCUAACCACAAAACUAGCUUUCCAUCUCCACUCGACGAUUUUUGGGUUUCAUGCCUCGCCUCUUGUACAUCAUGACCACUGUAACUAACAACAAAAGGACUCUUUCCAUGAUUACACUCUUUAGAUAUUGUUUGAUCACAUGAGUUACCCAACCUUACUGCUGAGGUCUUUGCAUGUCUAAGUGCAUCCAAUCUCUUCGCAAGAAUGGAAGCCAUUGUUUCUGACUGCUUAUUUUCCUCUGGAGGAAUUGCUGGACAUUUGCUACUGGUUGUCCCAUUGUCACUUCCUGUGCUAGUAUAGUAUUGUGAAUUAUUGAAUUCCUUCUCCACGCUAAAAUUCUGCUGCGAUGAACAAUACAACUUAUCAGCUGCACCUUUUGGAUUGACAGCACAAAAAUCACUUUUUAUGUUGCACGGUGUUGCAUCUGUCAACUUCAUUGAUGUUUUUGGCAAAAGACGACUUACCCACAAGCUUUCUCUGAAACCACCUUUAUUUCCCACUGAAGCUUUCAAAGAACCGGCAUGGGCCUCAUUUUGUUUUUCUUCAAGAGAUCUAGAACAUGAUUUACUAGAGUUGGGCAUCAUCAAGUUCCUUCCGGCUCUCAAAGGGAAAACUCCAAUUUGAUUUUGAAAAUUCCCUCUACCACCACCAAAGUCCAUUAGAAGGCUGUCAGCAGCUAAGGUCUCAGUAGGCACGUCAAGAGUUUUUCUGCUCGUGCCGAUUUGUUUGCCAAGCAUAGAAUUGCUGUCAUUUAAAGCAAGUGCUACUCUGUCAGCUUCAUGCUCAGUGCAUUUUUUUUCCGAUUGGUGACAAGUAUCUGUUGAAGUUAUCAUGACAUUAUGACGAUAAAGAGAUUGAAAAAGAGAAUUGAAGCCAACAGACUGCACAGGAACGCUGCUGUUGUUUUGAAGUGGCCCAGACUGUUCUGCAAAUUCAUGAACUGUAGACACUGAAAACUUCUGAUCAAGUGAAACAUCAGUGGUACUUUUAUCAAAUACAGUUAACCCAUUAGUGAGAGAUGACACCCAGUUAAAGAAAGAGCUACCAUUUCUUUGCAAAAAUCCUGAGCAAGAGCUCUCAUUGAAUUCCCUUCUACAUCUUUUAGUUCGGGAAGACAUCUCGGCAAUCGAGCAUUGUGCAUGCUCUCGCUUUUGAGCUUUCAUACUUUGGCAGCUCUCCAUACUCUCAUUGCUAUCAUCGCCCUCUUUGAUGUUGCUGACACAGUUGCUCUGAUCAUGCAUAACCUUUUCUUUGCCCUUCUCGAGCUUUGUAGGAUUAACACCAGAUGAUGACUCAUAUCUUGCAGCAGAAUUAACACCGGAUGCUGACUCACAUCUGGAAACAGGAUUACCACCAGAUGCUGACCCACAUCGGCCAAGAACAGGCUCAUCCAUAUGGUUUUCCUGCAUAACAUGAUAUUGGUGACUAUCAUUAUGGUUUUCCUGCACAAUCCGAUCCUGGUGAUUACCAUGAUGGUUUUCCUGCAUAACCUGAUCUUGGUGAUUAUCAUUUUCUUUACCUAGAAAACCUGCCAACUUGCCAGCGACCUUUUCUGCAUUACCAAAUUUCUCAAAGGAUGAAGCUGACUGUGCAUUCAUUGCAUUGUUUGGCAAAACAUAGUCCUUCUGACUAAUUGCCUUUACUAAUCGAGCUCGCCAGGCAUUAUCUGCCCAAGGUCUUUCAUUAUGGACAGUUGUUGCACAGUACACCUGUUUUUCUGAAAUACUAGGUAUAACACCUUUUCUGGAAGCCGAACCUGUAAAAUACCAUGCUAAAUUAUUUAUUGUUGGGAACAAAAAAAAGGGCUUAGAGUUGAUUAGCCUAAAGAUGGUAUAUUACCGUCAGAAACAUCCUUGCAGCAUCUUGUGGGACAACUACCCACUUCCCCUUUAUCUGCAUUAUAUACAAAGCAGCUUUGAGACACUUCUUUCCCUUUGUUCAUCACACUGAUCCCUCCACAGCAUUCUACAAGCAUUAAUCACGAAAUAAGACAAGGUGAUCACCAAGGAAAUGACCGUCAGAUGAUAAAAGUAUAAUAUUAAUUGGGGCUCCUUUUUUAUUUGGACGGGUACCCAGCUAUCAAAGACAUGGUAGAUGGAAAAAACUGUGAAAAAAUUAAUGUAACAGAUGAUUGGUAAAAUAUUUCCUUGGGAAAAGCAUUAAUUUAACUACAUUUCGUAGAUUUUAAACUUGAACCCGUUAUGUUCAUACAGUUUGGUCUCUUCUGGCUAAACAGCUAAAAGGACCAAAAAUUGUUGCUAAAUGCAGAUAUCUAUGCCAAAAGCCAAGCAUCAGCGUUUCUGAACUACUCGAAGUCACUGAAUUGGAUUUGUGUCUUUUAAACUUACUUGAAUCUUGUUCCUGUGAUCUUACAGAAGUAGAUUGUUGCGCAUCAAGGUUUCGUAUUCUAUUUGGACUAGCCAUGGAUAGUCUCACUGAACUGUCACAACGAGUCCGUGGCUGUGAUGGCAUUUCUCCUGCAUCUGCUAUGGUGGCAUCUAUGUUAUCACCACUCUUCCCGCGACCGCUACUUUGCUGAGGCGAAGAUAUCACUAUGUUCAAAGUAUCUGCAUUCCAGCGAAGAGAAGCUUUUCUUGUGCUUAGGCUGGACGCUGCAAUUUUAAUGCUCAGACCAUCAUCCGGAGACCACACCAGCUCAGACAGAGGGCACAUGCCGGAUAUUUUGAUUGCAUUUACACCUGCACCUGAAUAUCCACCAUAGGCCUUCAGAAGACUAUAAGAUAAGAGGAUGUUUGCAAGGAAUAUAACAACUCUGCUUGUGUUCACUAGAGCAUAUCAAAUAGGACUGUUUUCAAAUAUUAAAAAGAGAAAGAUCCAUGUGUGAAAAAUAACAGGAAAGCAAGAUAGCUAGUAAUUUAAACCUUCAAAAUCAAGAAUAACGUGUUCCAUCUGCUCUCAAACACAUGACAUUCUAACCACCAAAUUUUGUUCCUGAACACAUGUUAUUCUACGAUUUUGAGACAUUGGAUAUAAUCUGAUGUCAUUUAUUAUUAUAUGGUUACAGUAAGGUUUAGUUUGUCAUUGCUGAUAUGUGUUGCGCUGAACUUAUUUCAUAAUAUAUUGUGAAAAAAAUAUACAUGAAAACAGGAAUAGUUAGCCAAACAAUAAAAUAGACAAAAGCGGAUAUGAUAAAUGGGAUUAUGAGAAUUCACCACAAUACCAAGCGCAGCAUAAGUCAGUAACACACAUCACACGGGAGUAUUUAGUGACCUAAUAUCUAAUGAACAAGUCGUGAUGUGGACUCUCCCUCCCUGCAUCUCGGUUAUGUGGAAAAUAUUAAAUGUCAUCUCGGAGGGAAUACACUCUACAUAUAGGGCUUCUAUUUUACAUGUGACUAAGGUAGUACCUCGGUACGGAUAUAUAAGGCAUGCACGUGUUCCAAGAUCAUCAAUUUAACCAACAAAAUAUGUAUUAUAUUACACAAAAAAGUACAUCAUUAGAUUUGUAGUCAAAUGAACUUUUGAAUUAUUUUGCUAGUUACAUCGAUGAUCUUGGAACACACACGUGCCUUAUAAAUCCGGACGGAGGUAAUACAUGCUUAGGGGGUGCCUAUUAUGAAAAAUCCUAAACUAAGGCUCUUGUUGCAUCGACUGGACUGAUAAGGAAGUUGUAGCCCCCAAGAACUUCCAAGGUUUAUAUCACCAUUACAAGAAGCAAACUAUUGCUAAUGAAUCAGAUGCAGAUAUCUAUAUCUUUCUGGUGUGUGUGUUUUCCAACAAAAGAGCAAAUAUUCCCCUGUUUCCCCAAUCAUCACUUCAACAAGAAAAAAAUACUUGGGGUCCUAGCUAGGAUCCCAGUCGAAUCCAUACAUGGAUCAUGACACACAAGGCAACACACAACUCACCUAAAUUAGAAGAAGAAGAAAAAUACAUUUGCUGUUUGUGGUUCAUAGAAAACGAAAAGGUUAACAUGAAAGCGGAAUAAUAAACAACAUAAAGGACGGUAUCACCAACAAAAGCAACAUGGAUAAAUAAAUAAAAAGUACAGAAACAGCGAUCGCUGAUGCAACAGCCGACCUCUGGGAGCAGCGAACCACUAGCAUCUCAUCUCACUGCAAUGCUCCCCGCGCUGCCCACGAACGGUCGGUCCUCGGAAAAACAACACACGCGCCGGCGCGCAUCCGAACAACACCACGCAGACGCAGGCGAAGCUAGGAGGGGGGUGGAGGAGGAAGAGG